rnacentral:rRNA from 1 species
UACAGAGGUCUCAAGCGUUGUUCGGAUUCAUUGGGCGUAAAGGGUGCGUAGGUGGCGUCGUAAGUCGGGUGUGAAAUUUCGAGGCUUAACUUCGAAACUGCAUUCGAUACUGCCGUGCUAGAGGACUGGAGAGGAGACUGGAAUUUACGGUGUAGCGGUGAAAUGCGUAGAUAUCGUAAGGAAGACCAGUGGCGAAGGCGGGUCUCUGGACAGUUCCUGACGCUGAGGCACGAAGGUCAGGGGAGCAAACGGG